CGAGGCUCUGCAGCGUGCGCGCCCGGCUUCUGGGGGCCCGCGGGAGGCGCGGAGGAAAGUGCAGACUCCCAGUCACGGCCUAAUGUGGAAGGACCGGACCCCUGGGUUGCAGCGCGUCGAGCGGUGCUGACUCUUUCCUUUGUUCUGUUUCUGCCUCUCUAGAGCUGACAUCGCGCUGAUCGGAUUGGCCGUCAUGGGCCAGAACUUAAUUCUGAACAUGAAUGACCACGGCUUUGUGGACUUUUGUCCUUCUAGGUCUGUGCUUUUAAUAGGACUGUCUCCAAAGUUGAUGAUUUCUUGGCCAAUGAGGCAAAGGGAACCAAAGUGGUGGGUGCCCAGUCCCUGAAAGAGAUGGUCUCCAAGCUGAAGAAGCCCCGGCGGAUCAUCCUCCUGGUGAAGGCUGGGCAAGCUGUGGAUGAUUUCAUCGAGAAAUUGGUGAGGCCAGCUGUGCUCUCAGCUGCUACCACGAUAGCAGCUGUUUUUGGUUUCUUCCUUUAGUUCUCCUUCUUUUAACUCUAGAGAUUUUUUUUUUCAAUUUCUGCUAAGCUCUGACCAAAUGAUUGCUUAACUGUUGCAGUGUUGGUUAACUUGAUAAGCACUUAUGAAGUAACUUUGUCCUUUGGUGGUAGUAAUUCUGAGAAUACUAACAGACAUUUCAAUAAACAUUAAGGCGGGGCACAGUGGCUCAGGCCUGUAAUCCCAGCACUUUUUGGGAGGCUGGUUCAGAUGGAUCGUUUGAGCCCAGGAGUUCGAGACCAGCCUGGGCAACAUGGCGAAACCCUGUCUCUACAUAAAAUUAAAAAAUUAGCUGGGUAUGGUGGUGCAAGCUUAUGGUCCCAGCUACAAGCUUGUGGUCCCAGGUUUGAGACCAGCCUGGCCAACAUGGUGAAACCCCGUCUCUACUAAAAAUAUAAAAAUUAGCUGGGCUUUGUGGCUCAUGCCUGUAAUCCCAGUUACUCGGGAGGCUGAGGAAUGAGAAUCGCUUGAACCUGGGAGGUGGAGGUUACAGUGACCUGAGAUUGUGCCACUCCAGUUUGGCGACAGAGUGAGACUCCGUCUCAAAAAAAAAAAUGAAAAUAAAAUCAAGAUCUCCUUAGGGAAUCCUAGGGAAUUGGAUGCUUAUUUUUGUACCAAACAAUUUGUUGGCUUUAGCAGGUAUAUCUUUUUUGGAAGAAAAAAGUAGGGGAACCAGUGGAAAUAAUGUGUUUAGAUACCCCAAAAUAAUUCUAUAGUAACAACUCUGAAAAAACCCAGGCACUCCCAUUUAGAAGAAAU
rnacentral:lncRNA from 1 species